AUGAGCGCGGCUUCUCGGAGAAGGCGAGGGGCGCAGGAGGAGAAGACAAGGGAGAGGAGGCAGAUCGAGCGUCGGGCACGAGGGGAUCGAGCAGAGCUCUCCCUCGUGCGAUGCGUGGGGAUUCUGGCGGCGCUAGGAGGGAGGAUGAGAGGGAGAGAAGUGCGGUCGGGCCUAGGGUUGGAUAGGUUUUGCUGGGCCUUGGGAGGCCGGCCCAGUGAGAGGGAAAUGGCCAGAGGCCUGCUGGAGUUGCGGGAAACCUUGGACCAAAUGGCCCGCGGGAGGCCCAAAUGGCAUGUCUGGGCUCUCCCUCCCCCUCCUAUUUACUUCUUUUUACAAAAACAGAAAAUAAGAGAAAGGAAAAGAGAGAAGAGAAGGUCAGAGGAAGAAUUUGGGUAG
rnacentral:rRNA from 1 species